rnacentral:rRNA from 1 species
UACACUCCUACGGGAGGCAGCAGUGGGGAAUAUUGGACAAUGGGCGCAAGCCUGAUCCAGCCAUGCCGCGUGAGUGAUGAAGGCCCUAGGGUUGUAAAGCUCUUUCACCGGUGAAGAUAAUGACGGUAACCGGAGAAGAAGCCCCGGCUAACUUCGUGCCAGCAGCCGCGGUAAUACGAAGGGGGCUAGCGUUGUUCGGAUUUACUGGGCGUAAAGCGCACGUAGGCGGACUAUUAAGUCAGGGGUGAAAUCCCGGGGCUCAACCCCGGAACUGCCUUUGAUACUGGUAGUCUUGAGUUCGAGAGAGGUGAGUGGAAUUCCGAGUGUAGAGGUGAAAUUCGUAGAUAUUCGGAGGAACACCAGUGGCGAAGGCGGCUCACUGGCUCGAUACUGACGCUGAGGUGCGAAAGCGUGGGGAGCAAACAGGAUUAGAUACCCCGGUAGUCCCAUG